rnacentral:rRNA from 1 species
GUUGUAUGGUUAAGUGACUAAGCGUACACGGUGGAUGCCUGGGCAGUCAGAGGCGAUGAAGGACGUACUAACUUGCGAUAAGCGCAGAUAAGGCAGUAAGAGCCGUUUGAGUCUGCGAUUUCCGAAUGGGGAAACCCAACUGCAUAAGCAGUUACUGUUAACUGAAUACAUAGGUUAACAGAGCAAACCGGGGGAACUGAAACAUCUAAGUACCCCGAGGAGAAGAAAUCAACCGAGAUUCCGGUAGUAGCGGCGAGCGAACCUGGAUUAGCCCUUAAGCACUCGGUGAAGUAGGUGAACAAGCUGGAAAGCUUGGCGAUACAGGGUGAUAGCCCCGUAACCGACGCUUCAUCGAGCGUGAAAUCGAGUAGGGCGGGACACGUGAUAUCCUGUCUGAAUAUGGGGGGACCAUCCUCCAAGGCUAAAUACUCCUGACUGACCGAUAGUGAACCAGUACCGUGAGGGAAAGGCGAAAAGAACCCCUGUGAGGGGAGUGAAAUAGAACCUGAAACCGUGUACGUACAAGCAGUAGGAGCACCUUCGUGGUGUGACUGCGUACCUUUUGUAUAAUGGGUCAGCGACUUAUAUUCAGUGGCAAGGUUAACCGUAUAGGGGAGCCGUAGCGAAAGCGAGUCUUAACUGGGCGCUCAGUCUCUGGAUAUAGACCCGAAACCGGGUGAUCUAGCCAUGGGCAGGUUGAAGGUUGAGUAACAUCAACUGGAGGACCGAACCGACUAAUGUUGAAAAAUUAGCGGAUGACUUGUGGCUAGGGGUGAAAGGCCAAUCAAACUCGGAGAUAGCUGGUUCUCCCCGAAAGCUAUUUAGGUAGCGCCUCGGACGAAUACU